GAUGAACGCUGGCGGCGUGCCUAAUACAUGCAAAUCGAGCGAACGGACGAGAAGCUUGCUUCUCUGAUGUUAGCGGCGGACGGGUGAGUAACACGUGGAUAACCUACCUAUAAGACUGGGAUAACUUCGGGAAACCGGAGCUAAUACCGGAUAAUAUUUUGAACCGCAUGGUUCAAAAGUGAAAGACGGUCUUGCUGUCACUUAUAGAUGGAUCCGCGCUGCAUUAGCUAGUUGGUAAGGUAACGGCUUACCAAGGCAACGAUGCAUAGCCGACCUGAGAGGGUGAUCGGCCACACUGGAACUGAGACACGGUCCAGACUCCUACGGGAGGCAGCAGUAGGGAAUCUUCCGCAAUGGGCGAAAGCCUGACGGAGCAACGCCGCGUGAGUGAUGAAGGUCUUCGGAUCGUAAAACUCUGUUAUUAGGGAAGAACAUAUGUGUAAGUAACUGUGCACAUCUUGACGGUACCUAAUCAGAAAGCCACGGCUAACUACGUG
rnacentral:rRNA from 1 species